AUGCGCGCGGUGCUGUCCAUGCUCGUGACGGACAACACCGUGCGCGCCGUGAUAGGCGACCGCUGCAAGGAGCGCGACACGUUCCUCCGGGAGGUCGACCGCAUCGCGCAGCUCGCGUCGGGGUUCAACCUGGCCGACAUGUGGCCAUCGUCACAGCUCGCCGCGUGGUUCAGUGGAGCCGAGGAGUGCCGCCACACCCUGUACGACAUCCUCGACGGCAUCGUUGAGGAGCAGCUGGAGAGGAUGGACGGCGGCGGAGGCCACGCCGAGGACCUGCUCGACGUGCUGCUCAAGGUCCAGAAGGAGGGUGGACUCAAGUUUCCCAUCCACAUGGACACCGUCAAAGCCAUCAGCUUGGACGUGUUCUCCGCGGGUAGUGAAACAACAACUACGACAAUUGAGUGGGCCAUAUCAGAGUUGAUCAACAACCCGAUGGCCAUGCAGAAGGCGACAGCUGAGGUGCGACAAGUCUUCCAUGCCCAUGGCACCGUGGUCAAGCACGCCCUA
rnacentral:rRNA from 1 species